CGAAGCAUGUCAACCGCUGUUUAAAAUCCAUUUUUAUGCCAUUUUUCUCGUAAAAAAGCGAUAAUAUUCCGACCGGGAAUGUCCAUUUAGCUAAACAGAGGAAAGAAAACAAAGCUUUCGGUCGACGCGGGCACGAGCCCGAUUAUGUCAGCAGAGUACCCAGCCAGAAAUAAUCAGAGAGCCAUUUUUCAAGCAAGCAUAUAAUGUCACAUUAACCCAAACCACAGCUAAAUGCAGCACUAACCUUUGAUGAUCUUCAUCAGAUGACACUCCUAGGACAUUAUGUUAUACAAUACAUGCAUGUUUUGUUCAAUCAAGUUCAUAUUUAUAUAUAAAAACAGCAUUUUAUAUCGGCGCGUGACGUUGACUAACUAUUUUCCCUCAAAUGCGUCCGGUGAAACAGCGCUACAAUUUACUAAAUUACUAUUCGAAAACAUUUUUAAAAUGUAAUAUUGUCAUUCUAAGAUUUAUAGAUUAGCAUCUCUUGAAAGCACCUACAAUGCCAGAUUUAAAAAUAACUUUACUGGGUAAUCACACUUUGCGAUACUCAGAAAAACAGGCUAGCAAUACAGGUCAGCGCCAUCUUGGAACAAUCGCAUAUCAAAUCUACUCUUGUAUAUUAUUGUCAAUAAUCCCUUACCUUUCAUUAUCUUCAUCAGAAGGCACUUCCAGGAAUCCCAGGUCCACAACAAAUGUAUUUUCGUUCGAAAAAGUUAAUCCUUUAUGUCCCAAUAGCUUGUUGUUGUUAGCGCGUUCUGAAGGCUGCUCCAAAAGUACCGUCGGCCGCGGGACUUCUCUCUCAACAAAAUGCAUUUUUUUUUAAUGUAAGUUCGUUCAAACAUGUCAAACGUUGUAUAACAUAAAUCUUUAGGGCCUUUUUCAACCAGAGCUCCAAUAAGAUUCAAGGGGGACGGUUGCAUUGUCUUUCUAAACGUUUUGAAAGGGGAGGGUAGCCAGGGACGCCGGCGUCAUAAUGGUGAUGGCCCUCUCCAUGUGACCACGUUCCACAGACUCUCAUUCUGUCAGUUUUCACAGUAGAAGGCUCAAACCACUUUGUAAAUACUGGGGACAUCUAGUGGAAGUGCUCAAUGAACCAUAGCUCACGGUGUGAUUUAUAGGCAAAGUGAUGAAGUUGAGUCCGCAAUUCAGAAUUCCACAUCCUGUUACGAUCUGUCUCGGGGUUUUGACUGCCAUAUGAGUUCUUUUAUACUCACAGACACCAUUCAAACAGUUUUAGAAACUUUAGGGUGUUUUCUAUCCACAAGUAUUAACCUGUUGGGGGUAGGGGGCAGUAUUUACAUGGCCGGAUAAAAAACGUACCCGAUUUAAUCUGGUUAUUACUACUGCCCAGAAACUAGAAUAUGCAUAUAAUUAUUGGCUUUGGAUAGAAAACACCCUAAAGUUUCUGAAACUGUUUGAAUGGUGUCUGUGAGUAUAACAGAACUCAUAUGGCAGGCAAAAACCUGAGAAGAUUCUGUAUAGGAAGUGCCCUCUCUGACCAUUCCUUGAGCUUCUUGACUCUGUUUAUUGAAGACUGAGGAUCUCUGCUGUAACGUGACACUUCCUACGGCUCCCAUAGGCUCUCAGAAGGCGGGAAAAAGCUGAAUGAUGUAAUUCCAGCCACUGGCUGAAACACAUUAGCGCUUUUGGCAAGUGCUCUAUCAGAGGACAAUGGGCUGAGGCGCGUGCACGAGUCGACCCCAUGUUUUUAUUUUAAUUCGUCUUUGAACCUAAACACAGAUUCCCGGUCGGAAUAUUAUCGCUUUUUUACGAGAAAAAUGGCAAUAAAAUUGAUUUUAAACAGCGGUUGACAUGCUUCGAAGUACGGUAAUGGAAUAUUUCGUAUUUUUUUGUCACGAAAUGCGUUGUGCGCGUCACCCUUCUUUACCAUUCGGAUAGUGUCUUGAACGCACGAACAAAACAGAGGAUAUUUGAACAUAACUAUGGAUUAUUUUGAACCAAACCAACAUUUGUUAUUGAAGUAGAAGUCCUGGGAGUGCAUUCUGACGAAGACAGCAAAAGUAAUAACAUUUUUCUUAUAGUAAAUCUGGUGAAUGCUAAACUUGGUGGGUGUCAAAAUAGCUAGCCCUGUGAUGCCGGGCUAUCCACUGAGAAUAUUGCAAAAUGUGCUUUCACCGAAACGCUAUUUUAAAAUCGGACAUAGCGAGUGCAUAGAGGAGUUCUGCUUCUAUAAUUCUUAAAAUAAUUAUGUUUUUUGUGAACACCAUUCAAGCUUUAUUUUUUGGCCUAGUUUCCCCCUAAUAAAGUGGCCUGAAACUCAUGUUUUACAAGCCACAUCAGGCCUGCAAGUCACAUUAUGCUGGCUUUGAAAGUGAUGUGUAAUUCCUAUUAGAAUCCAGCCAGAGUUAGGAUAUCCAGCUGUUGGAAUUUUUAUUCACCUCCAACCUGCAUUUAAAAAUUACUGCUAAGAUUAGAAACAGUGUGAGGAGACUACGUAAACCAUUUAAACUGGAACAACGACUUCAGUAACGGGUGCAAAAAAUCUUUUUAGUAUCUUUGUGUACCAUAAGAUCACUUAACUUGGAAGCCAGCCGCACCAAUGUGUCAGAGUAAACACCAUACAACUGGCUACCAAAGUCAGCGUGCACUUGCCCGGCCCACCACAAGGAGUCGUUAGAGCGCGAUUAGCCAGGAACAUCCCGGCUGGCCAAACCCUCCCCUAACCUGGACGGCGGUUGGCCAAUUGCGCACCGCCUCAUGGGUCUCCCCGUCUCAGCCAGCUGCGACACAGCCUGGGAUCGAACCCGGGUCUGUAGUGACGCCUCUAGCACUGCGAUGCAGUACCUUAGACCGCUUUGCCACUCGGGAGACACUGUACCCUUAUUUGUAAGAGUGCAGUCUCCUCUCCCUGAAUGAAAACGAGUACACAAGCCUCAAGACAUGGCAUGCCACUUCCCCUCCAUUGGUCUCGGUGACCUGUAUGCAGAAGAUCUGUUGGAUUCUAUCAGAGUAAAGCAAAAAAGCUUUCCUCUCUGACAUGAUAUUUCUUGAGGCCAAGAAGGAGCUCAAACAGAUGGAGCAACUCGUGGUUACACUAGCCAAACCACACCUACAGCCAGCUGAACCUCCAGUGCCACAGGUUUGUACCUGCACACCACAGAGAAGACUGUGAGAAUGCAGGGAUUGAUGGAAGGGUUGGUAGUGAGAAGAUGCAGGAAAGGGACAGAUCAGUAUCUACGACAAGAAGAAGAUCACACCCAUUGGUCACCCCCAUUGGUCACCAAAAGGGAUGCCCAUCCUGACCAAGUGGAGGCUGACCAGUCCUCACAUCCCCUUCUUCAUGCACCUUCUCAUUCAGUGCCAGCUGCUGUGGCUCACCAUCAAGAGGUUGCUGCAGAUUUACACCCUGUAGCCCCACACCAAUCUCGCCAGCUUGAAACUGCUCAUCAGCGCCUCCAUCAACAUGAGCGCUCGACGACAUCGUCACCUUCAGCAUUAGAGUCGCCAUCAGCCCACCUCGGAUCCGACCCCUUUUGAUAGUGGUGCUACAACCUUCUCCAGGGCCAGAGGGGCUACCAGAACACACCCUGGUGGAGUACCCCAUCACUGGACCAGCCAUGCAGAUCCAUCCUGCUCUGACCAUGGAGCUGAAGCUAGUAGUGGGGUCUACUACACCCACUCCUGCCAUAGAGCCUCAGCCUUCUCCAGUAACAGAGCUCACCCUGGAGGAGUACCCCACCACUGUGCUCCAACCUACUUCAGCCGUGGUGUCUCAACUGGUUUCCACCUUAGCUCUACAGCCUUCUUCAAGGCCAGAGGAGCUACCAAAGCUCACCCUGGAGGAGCAAACCACUACUUUUCUCCAGCUGACACCAACUGUGGAGUCCAUCAUAGAAACCACAGAGCCUUUUCCAGGGAUGGAGGAGCUACCAGAGCUCUCCCUGAGAGAGCACACUACUCCAGCUGAUAUGUCAGUCGGCCCCUGCCUGGUGGGAUUUACCUGUUCCUACCUUCCAAGUCCAGCCUGCUGCCAUCCAGUGGUGUCUGCCUGCUGCCACAUGGACUCAGUCUGCUCAGGCUGGCCCGGCCGCGUCAGCCCCUGUCUGGUGGAACUUGCCUGUCACCAUCUUAGGGUCCUCUGUCAGAAACAGCUUGAAGCACUCUGCCUCAGAUGGAGAUGACAAGGGGCUUUGCACUCGACUGGGACUCAUAAAAACCAACAGCAUGGCCAGGAUGGGUGAAAUUACUGGAGGCCUUCCAGCUACCGCAGACCUCCCGUAUUUCACUCACUGUUGAUGUGCCUCCAUCACCACCAGCAUCUUCAGAGGGACCUGGGACUUCUUCGGUGGCAAAGGGUCCUCAGAUUCAGAGUUCUCAAUGGCUACAAGGUUGGGGGGCAGCUCCUUACUCUCACUGUCAGAACCUGAUUCCUCACUGUCAUAAUCAGAAUCAUUAUCAGAAUUUACAAAAAUUUCCAGAAUUUCCAUAUUUGUAAAUUGUCUUCUUUUUAAAGACAUUGCUAAUGCUACAGCUUAGCCCACUAGCUACAUACAUAAAAAACAACACUGAAUGGCUCCAAGUGAGUGUCAGGGGCGACGUGAUUGGCUACCGGUGUGGUGAUACUGAUGAUUUGUCUCCACAAAGGGUUUGGUUAUACAGCAGGUUAGGAUAAUUAACAUGGCAGGUUAGGAUAACUAAUGCAGCAGGUUUGGUGAAUUAUAUAUACUAGGUUAAGAGAAUGAGGUUAAGGUUAGGAAAAGGGUUAGGGUUAGGCUUGUCUACAAGCUACAGUUGUCACCAACAGUUGUCCCCGACAUAACCACUAGAUGGAGCUAUUGUAGGCCUAGCUACUCCAUUGAGCCUCAACGUUAGAAACGUAAACAAACCAUCUGUGGCGACAAGUCAUCAGUAGCGUUAUCAUAACACCUGAAUGGGCCACUUGUAUCAAUAAAUCACUAUCAGAAAAUGGUUUGUGUGGUAAUAAUUUCUUUAUUUACAUGUUUUCAAGUACUAGUGACAUCAUGCAUUCUGAUUCUUGCAUUGAUUCUAAUUGAUACAAUGUAUGAGGUGUAUAAAAUCAUUUUUUGAAGGUUGUACUGAUUAUGAUGAGCUAAUGGUAAGCUAUUUGCCAGCUAUGUGUCAUGGUCAUGGUCUAAACACGCCAAAACAGUUGGCACGACAACACCUUUUCCCCCUCAGGAGACUGAAAACAUUUGGCAUGGGUCCCCAGAUCCUCAAAGUUAUACAACUGCACCAUCGAGAGCAUCCUGACCGGUUGCAUCACCGCAUGGUAUGGCAACUGAUCGGUAUCUGCCUGUAAGGCGCUACAGAUGGUAGUGCGUACGGCCCAGUACAUCACUGGGGCCAAGCUUCCUGACAUCCAGGACCUAUAUACUAGGCGGUGUCAAAGGAAGGCCCAAAAAAAUGGCAAAAACUCCAGUCACCCAUGUCAUAGACUGUUCUCUCUGCUACCGCACGAAAAGUGAUACAGGAGUGCCAAGUCUAGGGCCAAAAUGCUCCUUAACAGCUUCUACCCCCAAGCCAUAAGACUGCUGAACAAUUAGUCAAAUGGCCACCCGGACCAUUUACAUUUGUUUUUACACUGCUGCUCCUCGCGGUUUAUUAUCUAUGCAGAGUCACUUUACAAAUUACCUUGACUAACCUGUACCCCCGCACAUUGACUCGUUACCAGUCCCCCCCGUAUAUAGCCUCGUUAUUGUUAUUUCAUUUUCUUGUGUUACUUUUUAUAUAUAUUUUUUUCCCACAUUAGUUAUGUUAUGUAAGUAUUUUCUUAACUCUAUUUCUUGAACUGCAUAUUUGGUUAAGGGCUUGUAAGUAAGCAUUUCACGGUAAGGUUUACAUCUGCUGUAUUCUGCAGAUGUGGCAAAUAAAAUGUGAUUUGAUUUGAU
rnacentral:lncRNA from 1 species